GUGGAUUAGAUACCCUGGUAGUCCUAGCCGUAAACGAUGGAUACUAAGUGUUGCGCGACUCAAAACGUGCAGUGCUGCAGCUAACGCGGUAAGUAUCCCGCCUGGGGAGUAUGCCCGCAAGGGUGAAACUCAAAGGAAUUGACGGGGGGCCAAGCAAGCGGUGGAGCAUGUGGUUUAAUUUGAUGCAACGCGAAGAACCUUACCAGGGUUUGCAUGUCAUUGGAAUUUGUGAAAAUAGAUUCUUUCUUCUUCGGAAGCGAUGAACACAGGUGGUGCACGGCCGUCGUCAGCU
rnacentral:rRNA from 1 species